GAAUCCCGUCUUUGACAUGGACUGCCAGGGCUUUGUGAUGCGCUCUCAAAGAGUCGAGUUGUUUGGGAAUGCAGCUCAAAAUGGGUGGUAAAUUCCAUCUAAAGCUAAAUAUUGGCGAGAGACCGAUAGCGAACAAGUACCGUGAGGGAAAGAUGAAAAGAACUUUGGAAAGAGAGUUAAACAGUACGUGAAAUUGCUGAAAGGGAAACGCUUGAAGUCAGUCGCGUCAUCCAGGGAUCAACCUUGCUUUUGCUUGGUGCACUUUCUGGUUUGAUGGGUCAGCAUCAAUUUUGACCAUUGGAAAAAGGUUAAGGGAAUGUGGCAUCUUCGGAUGUGUUAUAGCCCUUGGUCACAUACAAUGGUUGGGAUUGAGGAACUCAGCAUGCCGCAAGGCCGGGUUUUAAAACCACGUUCGUGCUUAGGAUGCUGGCAAUAUGGCUUUAAUCGACCCGUCUUGAAACACGGACCAAGGAGUCUAACAUGCCUGCGAGUGUUUGGGUGGAAAACCCGAGCGCGUAAUGAAAGUGAAAAGUUGAGAUCCCUGUCGUGGGGAGCAUCGACGCCCGGACCAGACCUUUUGUGACGGUUCCGCGGUAGAGCAUGUAUGUUGGGACCCGAAAGAUGGUGAACUAUGCCUGAAUAGGGUGAAUCCAGAGGAAACUCUGGUGGAGGCUCGUAGCGAUUCUGACGUGCAAAUCGAUCGUCAAAUUUGGGUAUAGGGGCGAAAGACUAAUCGAACCAUCUAGUAGCUGGUUCCUGCC
rnacentral:rRNA from 1 species